AAUUACCUGGAGUGUUCGUCAGUAGGCUAUGUCCCUGAGCCGAUACUUUAAAUCUUAUAAAUUGGUUUCCUAUCGUUGGUGUGUAGGCUUAACCUUUGACUCGUUCAUUGGGCUAAGAAACCUGAAAACGGUAUCAACUGAUUUCCUUGAACCGUCGGGUUCAAGGACUACUGCCCGCAGCGGCACUCUGGGUCCUAU
rnacentral:other from 22 species